UACAGAGGGGGCAAGCGUUGUUCGGAAUUACUGGGCGUAAAGGGCGCGUAGGCGGCCUGCUAAGUCGAACGUGAAAUCCCCGAGCUCAACUCGGGAACUGCGUCCGAUACUGGCAGGCUUGAAUCCGGGAGAGGGAUGCGGAAUUCCAGGUGUAGCGGUGAAAUGCGCAGAUAUCAGGAGGAACACCAAUGGCGAAGGCAGCUCGCUGGGACGUGACUGACGCUGGAGGCGCGAAAGCUAGGGGAGCAAACGGG
rnacentral:rRNA from 1 species